AUUUUAAUAGCUUAAUUAGAGCAUAGUAUUGAAGCUACUAAGGUAACAGAAUUGUUUUUAAAUA
rnacentral:tRNA from 1 species